rnacentral:rRNA from 1 species
UACGUAGGGGGCGAGCGUUGUCCGGAUUUAUUGGGCGUAAAGAGCUCGUAGGCGGUUUGGCAAGUCGGGUGUGAAAACUCCGGGCUCAACUCGGAGACGCCACUCGAUACUGCUAUGACUCGAGUCCGGUAGGGGAGUGCGGAAUUCCUGGUGUAGCGGUGAAAUGCGCAGAUAUCAGGAGGAACACCGGUGGCGAAGGCGGGUCUCUGGGCAACAACUGACGCUGAGGAGCGAAAGCGUGGGGAGCGAACAGG